CUGUUGCUGACUGUAGGAUUCUUUCAACUUCUUUAAAUGUGUUGUCAUCUUCACUUUAAAGUGUAUUUCGCUGUUAUCCUGUCCAAUACCUUCAA